UACGUAGGCAGCAAGCGUUGUUCGGAGUUACUGGGCGUAAAGGGUGCGUAGGCGGCCUUAUAAGUAUGGUGUGAAAUCUCCCGGCUUAACUGGGAGGGUGCGCUAUAGACUGUGGGGCUAGAGUGUGGGAGAGGAAAGUGGAAUUCCUGGUGUAGCGGUGAAAUGCGCAGAUAUCAGGAGGAACACCGGUGGCGAAGGCGGGUCUCUGGGCCGAUAUUGACGCUGAGGAGCGAAAGCGUGGGGAGCGAACAGG
rnacentral:rRNA from 1 species